GUCAGUGUGGUGUAGUGGUUUGAGCAUUGGACUACAAAUCUGGAGUCCAGAGUUCAAAUCCCUGCUUAAAAA